rnacentral:rRNA from 1 species
CAAUAGCGUAUAUUAAAGUUGUUGCAGUUAAAAAGCUCGUAGUUGAACUUCUGUCUGAAUGUCUCCACUUAUUGUGUGAUGAUAAAUCGGACAUCCCCUUUGUAAAACUAAGCACGCACUUGAUUGUAGCGGUUAGGGUUUCUUUGGAAUUUACUUUUGAAAAAUUAAGAGUGUUUCUAAGCAGGCGAUUCGCUGGAAUACAUUAGCAUGGAAUAAUAGAAGAUGACCUCUGUGUUCAUUUUAUUGGUACAAUGACGGGAGGGUAAUGAUUAACAGGGACAGUUGGGGGCGAUUAGUAUUUAAUUGUCAGAGGUGAAAUUCAUUGAUUAAUUAAAGACUAACUUAUGCGAAAGCAUUUGCCAAGGAUGUUUUCUAUUGAUCAAGAACGAAAGUU